GGGGCCGACCUGGUUUCGACGUGGGUUGCGAAGCAGUGGAGGGCAUACCGAGGACCCGUCACCUCGUUAAUCAAUGGGAAUGCAAUAACUGCAAACGCACCACCCCCCUGAAGCGUCCAUACUCUGAAAGUAAGCCGCUUGUUUGUAGCUACCACCGCAUAGAUGAAUGUAUGGAAGUUUCCAUAGACUUCCAUACAUAACAUGGGUAGCCGCGGCGCGCCUCGUGGACGACCACAA
rnacentral:tmRNA from 3 species